UUUUGGUUGUGUGUAUAUGAAAUGUAAAUCAAGUGUUUCUGCUGUUUUGCAAGUGUGUGUUUCAGCAAUGAAACAGUUAACAGCAGGCCAGUUUGACUGACAGCCUGCUGUGACCUAUGAGACAUGAUUUCCGGCCUUGGAGGUCGGAACUUCCUUCGAACUAAGGAAAGUGCUUUCUUAUCUCUUGUAUUGUGAGAGAUGAGCCGAGCCGAAGAAUGCUGGCUUCGAGUGAUGGACUUUGCUGCAAUUGUAAAUAUCUCUGUGCAGUCAUACUGGCCACAUGACCUUGGAAGCAUCUACGGACAACGCUGGAGAUGGAGAUAAGCACCAACCCCCAGAGUUGGACACGACUAGACUUAAUGUCAGGGCAAAAUCUUUACCCUUUACCUUUACCUAGAUGCCUGGAAUCCCUAUAUCGGGAGAAAGGUGAGCUAAGAAUGAAGUCAGGAACGCAAAGCAUCAUGCAGCCUAAAUAAGUGAAUGCAUGGGAAGAGCUUGAUAGGAACAGCAGCUGUGGAGAAAUCUGAAGUGACUUGUUUAUAUUGUACAAUGUUUCUUGGAAUUAAAAAAAACACCCCCCUCUGA